CCUACGGGAGGCAGCAGUGAGGAAUAUUGGUCAAUGGCCGGAAGGCUGAACCAGCCAAGCCGCGUGCAGGACGAAGGUGCCAAGCGUUGUAAACUUCUUUUGUCAAAGGACAAAAUCAGACUCGAGAGCCUGACCGAGGGUACUUGAAGAAAAAGCAUCGGCUAACUCCGUGCCAGCAGCCGCGGUAAUACGGAGGAUGCGAGCGUUAUCCGGAUUUAUUGGGUUUAAAGGGUGCGUAGGCGGGCGGUUAAGUCAGCGGUAAAAGCCCGGGGCUAAACCCCGGCGAGCCGUUUAAACUGGUGGUCUGGAGAUGUCGUGAGGUAUGCGGAAUGUGUAGUGUAGCGGUGAAAUGCUUAGAUAUUGCGCAGAACUCCGAUUGCGAAGGCAGCAUACCGGCGGCGAUCUGACGUUGAGGCACGAAAGCGUGGGUAUCGAACAGGAUUAGAUACCCGAGUAGUC
rnacentral:rRNA from 1 species